GGUGGCUUUUCUGAUAUUAGAGUUAGAGAUUUUGGAUUGUCCUUUAGCAAGCACAUAAAGACAAUUUGCACUUAUGUCUGUAAAAGGCCGAAGAGACAACAUUAAGAAUUCAGUGACCUUCAAUGAUGUUCAUGUGAAAUUCAACCAAGAAGAGUAGGCCUUGCUGGAACCUUCCCAGAAGCAACUCUACAAAGAUGUGAUGCUAGAGACCUGUGAAAACCUCGCUGCUAUAGGCUACAAUGGGGAUAAACAUAAUAUUGAAGAACAUUUUCAAAGUUCUACAAGUAAUAAAAGGCAUGAAAGUAGUCAUACUGGAGAGAAACCCUUCAAAUGCACUCUAUGUGGGAAAGCCUUCCCGUAUACCACUGUUCUCAUACGGCAUAAAAGAACACACACUGGAGAAAAAC